rnacentral:rRNA from 1 species
UGGGGAAUAUUGGACAAUGGGCGCAAGCCUGAUCCAGCAAUGCCGCGUGUGUGAAGAAGGCCUUCGGGUUGUAAAGCACUUUUAUCAGGAGCGAAACGCUGUCGGCUAAUACCCGGCGGAACUGACGGUACCUGAGGAAUAAGCACCGGCUAACUUCGUGCCAGCAGCCGCGGUAAUACGAAGGGUGCAAGCGUUAAUCGGAAUUACUGGGCGUAAAGCGUGCGUAGGCGGUUUCUUAAGUCUGCUGUGAAAUCCCCGGGCUCAACCUGGGAAUGGCAGUGGAUACUGGGAGGCUAGAGUGUGUCAGAGGUGGUGGAAUCCCGGUGUAGCGGUGAAAUGCGUAGAGAUCGGGAGGAACAUCAGUGGCGAAGGCGGCCACCUGGGA